AGCCAGAGCAGAGAGCUGUUGGGGCCAGAAAGGCCAGCCUGGCCGACAGCAGGUGAGGGCCUUCGGGCCGGAGCCAGCAGCCCUGCACGUGUGUGCCCAGGGCCCAGCCUCCUAUAGCCACUGACCCAAGUCGGCCUGGGUCACAGCCCUGCUCUCACGAAGGCUCAGGGGGUCAUCCCCAACAGGGACUCGGCAGAGGGGAGGACGAGCGGGGUCCCGAGUCUCUCAGACGCCUCACUCUGAAGUGUGAUUUCACCUCCGCAGAAGCCUGGACUCAGCACAAGUGCAGCCAGCGGCCUCCUAAUCAAAGGGCAGAGUCCGCUUUGUGGAGCAGGCCGAGAUGGCCCUGAGCUCUCCCACAGCCCAGAUCCCGUCAGGAAGGGUAGAGGUGCAGGGAGCUCUACGCCUUUCCCCUGGGCCCAAACUCCAGGCCGUGGACACGCGGCGGGAGGCAGGACAGCCGCUCCCGCUCCUUCUCCAGGCCUGCAAACCCACGGCCAAGCCUCCCCGGCAGGCCUGGUCCUGAGCGCUCUGUACCCCAAGCCAGUCCAGCCUCACUCCCUCCUCCCUCCGACCACCUCCUCCAGAAGCCCUCAGCCACCAAAAGCCACUCGGAGAAAAGUCUAAAACUUAAUUUCCACUGAAGCAAAAGUAACGGAGAACCCCUCCAGCCCAGCUGGUGUGGCUCAGUGGUUGAACGUUGACCUACAAACCAAGAAGUCACCUUUUUGAUUCCUGAUCAGGGGACAUGCCCGGGUUGUGGGCUCGAUCCCCAGUAGGGGGCAUGCAGGAGGCAGCCAAUGAUGAUGUUUCUCUUUAUCCCUCUCCCUUUCUCUUUCUCUAAAAACAAAAAUCAAUAAAAACAUUAACAAAACAAAACAAAAAAGAAAAGAAAAGAAAGAAAGUCCCCUCCAGGAAUCUGU